rnacentral:misc_RNA from 1 species
GUGAUUUGAAAUUCUCAUGGCGGAUGGACAGAGAUGUGUUUGACUUGAUGAGCUACAGUACACACAACACAAAGGAAGCAAAAUAAUUCAAGGCUGUGUGAUCACUAAUUAUUUUUCUUUUCUCCUUGAAAGUGUAGGAAAUGUAAUUAAGUGGCAAAUAGGCAUUGAUGGAGGAUUACUCCGUGGGCUCAUACUUUAUGGAUUGUGAUUAAGGGUCCACAUAGUCGUUGAGGGUUCAUAAACAACAAUCAGCACGGACUUCUACCGUUCUACCGCCCUGCCAUCAACGACGUGCACUCUGCUAUCUUCACUGACAGCUUUCCUUGAGUUAACCUGGAUUGGAAAAGAACAAAGCACGAAGCAGCAACAUCGUUGUCGAUCACAAAGUAGCAAUGUCACCAUCGGGCACAAAGCAACAACAAUUCUGAACAUUUUGCGAGUGUUUGUCAAAGAGGGAAAGCAAAGGAAAGGAAAACAACAUGAAUUUAGGAGAACUUGUUUCUGAUUUGUUGCCCUGGUGGAUGGCAGCUAAGGUGCUCAGCACUGGGUCUCAUCUCUAGGACUUUGCUCUCUGGACUUUGGCACUUUCCUCUUUGGCAUGGCCAAACGAGAGAAAAGUUGAGGCAUGGGGUGCUGGGCCUAAACAUCCCUAAUUUAGCGUAGCCAAACGCUGUCGAUUCAGUUCGGUUUGACUUUUCUAAAAUUUGUCUUUGAAAAUCGAAUCAAAUUGAAUAUUUUGGUUCGGAUAGAAUUAUGCUCACUUCAAUUAGGAGACAGAUUUUUGAAUAAAAAUGGAAAUAUACUUCUUUCAUCAAACACAUGCAUGCGAAAAAGAAAGACCAUAGGACGGUCCCAUUUAAUAAUUUUUAUCAUCAUAAACCAACACUGGCUCAACUUUCCCUUCCACUACCCUUGCUUAAACUCAAUACUGCUAACAAUUUGCAAGUAGGCAGAGGCAACCUACUAAACAGAUUAUAAUCACAGGAGGAUAGGAAACGUCUUUCCGUAUAACUCACAAUUUUAAUCGAGUGGCAGUUUGCCGCUUGCAUCAUCCAUAGACAAGAGAGACUUGAGAAGCCAUUUUCUGCAACCACAGGAAAUUAAUUUUUGCAAAACCAUUCACUUUUGUAUGGUAAAAAUUUUCACGUAAAUUACAUGUGUCGUUGGUUUGAUCAUUCAAACGGCUGAAGUGGAUUAUAUGAUUGUAUCAGAUCUCGGAAAGGCAAAAACAUAACCAAAACAAAUUGAGCAAAAGAGAGGAGAGAUACUUACAAAACAAAAUCUACUUUAAGUCUCCCCAAAUUAAUGGAAUCAUCUCAUCUGAGCAUGUUGCUUGGCGGACGCCGAUGAAUCCAUCUGCUGGCUAUGUUGGUUGUUGUCCUCAUGAUGUGAAUUUGCACUUUUUUCUGCUUCAGCUCUUUGUGAAUUAGCAUUUUUUUCUGCUUCAGCUCUUUCAAGCAAAGCCUGUGUUUGCAUAGCCUUCAUCAUCUCCUUCAUCGUCUUCUCCUCCCCUUCAAGCUGCAUCUUCAUUAUAAUUUCAGCUUCCUUGUCAAUUGGCUUAAAAUACUCCUCAAUAGCAGCCUCCUGCACAUUAACAUGAUAAUAUUUCAACAUGCAACAUAAUACCAUAUACAAAGGAAGUUCACUUUCUUGUUAACUACGUACACAACAGAAGAAGACAUUUGAUUCUAAGAUCAGUGAGCUAUGUACAUUUUUUUAAACCAGGAAAAAAAAUGAGAUGAAAAGCACAGAAGUGGAUGCAAUAAAUCCAAUCUUUGAGUUGUUGCUGUCUUGUCUCUGGCCUAUGCAUUCUUAGGGACUCACUCUAUUCCUUCUCCUGUUGAAAGCUAGUCCUCAUUGCAUUUAGAGUAACAAAUUCUUAGAUGAAGUAAGUUGAAAUAAUUGUUAGCUUCCCCAUUGUCAACAGAAAAACUAAACUAUAUUGCACUAGGUAGAACAGGGAGACAAAAAUCCUGGCCGAUUAAAUUGUUAAAUGUUCAGACCACAGUGCCUAUGCUAGUAUUAAGAUGUUCAGAAAAUAAGUGAAGGAGGCUUCACGGGAACAGUUUUUUGUAAAAUCUCAUCUAUUAGUAAGCUUAUAUUCCAACAAGGAACAAAAGGACAAUAUAUAGGAUAGGUAGAAGAAGUGGCAUUUUUCACGUACAAACAGAUCAAUCAAAACUUCAUAUUAGGAAACCAUCCUCAUAAAGUAGACAAACUUAUUGAAAGACCUUUCCCUCAAUCACGUACCCAACAAUUCAAUACUUAAUACUUACAGUUUCCUCUAGCUUCCGGUUUAAAGUUUGCAUCUCCUCAACCAUGCGGCGAACCUCUGAUAAUAUAGCCUGCUCAGGGAUCUUUCUCAAAGCUGCCUUUCUUUCUUGUGCCUGUUGGAGACUCUUCUCGAGCUGCAAUCUAUAAUUGCAGAUUUUACGUUCUUCAUACCCAGAAAGAACCCUCACAUAGAAAAGGGCUUUCCUUCCAAAAUCCAAUAACUUAUUCAUAUUAUGAUUCAGC